CCUUUCCAUCGCUAGGACCCCGGCAAGCCACGGAGCAGGGGACCUUUGGGGCCGGAAGUUGUCGUUCCUAGAACUGGGCGACCCUAAAAGCCCGGAAGCCACCGUGCGGGCGACGACCCUGAAGGGGCGCGGUCGUGCGGGGUGUUCCGCGUUCAGAGGAUCUAAUUCUCGCUCAUUUAAUUCGUUCCUAAACUUGCAGCCUAAUCCCUCGAGGGCGGACCAGUGGCUGCGUUGCGUCACAGUCCCGUUGCCCUGGGAACGGAUGGAGUCUCGGCUUCUAACCCCUGCUAGAAUAACCACCCUGGAAAGCAGUGGUCGAACAUAGAAACUCCGUGACCAGUUUUGUUCACUGCUUUAUCUCCAGCAUCCAAAAGAGUGUCUGGCAAGUGGAUACCACAAGAACAUGGCAGUCUGUAACCCAGAAGAGAUACUCACCAGAACCUGACCAUGAUGACACCUUGAUUCCAGACUUCCAGCCUUCAGAACUAUGAGAAAUAAAUUUCUGUUGUUUAUAAACCACCAGUCUAUUUUGUUGGUAUUUUGUUACAGCAGCCUGAGCUAAGACACACUUGACUAGCCCUAUGUUUGAUUGAUUACUUGUCCUUUACCUCUCUAAUUCCUUCCUCUCACCUUCCAGUCCUCACCACUGUUCUCCUGUA